CCCUACGGGGGGCAGCAGUGAGGAAUAUUGGUCAAUGGGCGCGAGCCUGAACCAGCCAAGUCGCGUGAGGGAAGACGGUCCUAUGGAUUGCAAACCUCUUUUGUCGGGGAGCAAAAGACGCCACGUGUGGCGUUCCGAGAGUACCCGAAGAAAAAGCAUCGGCUAACUCCGUGCCAGCAGCCGCGGUAAUACGGAGGAUGCGAGCGUUAUCCGGAUUUAUUGGGUUUAAAGGGUGCGCAGGCGGAAGAUCAAGUCAGCGGUAAAAUUGAGAGGCUCAACCUCUUCGAGCCGUUGAAACUGGUUUU
rnacentral:rRNA from 1 species